CAGCGCCACGAGUGGGAACUAUGAUUAUUGGGCCUAAAGCGUCCGUAGCCGGUUUAAUAAAUUUCUUGUGAAACUGUUAAGCUCAACUUAACAACGUGCAGGAAAGACUGUUAGACUCGGGACUGGGAGGGGUUAGAAGUAUCUUUGGGGUAGCGGUAAAAUGUUAUAAUCCCAAAGAGACUACCUAUGGCGAAAGCAUCUAACCAGAACAGGUCCGACGGUGAGGGACGAAAGCUAGGGGAGCAAACCGGAUUAGAUACCCGAGUAGUCC
rnacentral:rRNA from 1 species